rnacentral:lncRNA from 1 species
CGAUUGUGCAACAAACGACUCCUAGUAGCAAAAUUUCGAACUGCAUGAAAAUUUUUAUUCCUCGAACGUCGUCUGCUCGAAAUUGAACGUGAUGCCGUUACGUGAAAAAUCGCCGGUAUAGUCUAUCUAUUAUACGGCUCUGAGUGAAACUGUAUCAAUACUCUUUGUGAUGUACUUGAACGUUAGAAAAAGCUGUAGGCUACAUUACGCUAAAAUAUCUCUUGCCACCUGUACUUGUUAUAGUGUCGUACAGCUUUUUCAUCCCUUGCAGACAACACUUAAAGUAAAGAUUGUACACAAUUCAUUAGUUCAAAAAACAAUGGUUCCAAUAGCACCCUUCAGAUUUUCAGUUUCCAGCCACAUCAGUGAUAAGGGACUUUUGUGGAAACUCAAAUGAAAAACUCUGGUAACAGAUAAUUAAUGUUGCUGAAAAUUCAAUAUGGGUUUAAUUAUUCUACAACAUUUUGGUUCACAAACUGAAGAAUACAAAAAAAAAAUGGGAGGUGAACUAGCAACUUGCUGAGGACUCCAUCCGCACAGUAUUCUCCAAGCGUAGAUGACGGGAUUCAUGGCCGAGUUGAUCCAUCCGAGCCAAUUGACAAUCGUGCCGACUAAUUCUGGGUCGUGAAUACAAGACUGGCAAAAAGCGGACAGCAAUGUUGUGACGAAGAACGGUGACCAACAAACGACGAAGACUCCCAUCACGAUACCCACGGUCCUAUCAGUUUGCGGAUCAGAUUGAGUUUAGCGAUUGGGAAGUAACGUCCGGAUUCGCUGUCGCUAGCGACAACUGCCGAUGAAGUUACAGACAACACAGUUUUUGGUGCGGAUAUCUCCGCCUCUGGUGAGGAAUGGCGGCGACCAAUCGUUCGUUUGAUGCUGGACGAUGGAUCGGGUGUUUGUAAAACAUCAUCGCGGUCAAAAUGGCCGCGACGGCAGCACAUCUACGAAUUUCCGACGCGGCUCUGCCUCCGCGAUGGAUGCGCAACAUUAAUGAAGUUACGACCCGCUUGGUGCCAAGGCGAAGGGAUCGUGACUGGGCCACAGCUGCCCGGUAGAUUCGGUAAUAAGUGAAGAC